AGCCCGCCAGAUCCUACCGCUUCAUUACCGAGGCGUGUGUUAUUUGCGAGUUCCCCUUACUCCGCAUCUCGAAGGAAGUUGUGCGGCUGGGUCCGAACUGAUUUUCCUUCUUGUGGGAUUUAAGAGACGGCCCCAUUCCUAGCAAGAGCCCGUUCAGACAGCGUGAGCGCCAGGGCACGGUGGGUGUGAGAGGGGCCCAGCGCCGCCAUUCGGACGACCCCCGGGCCUCACAUUCGUACAGGCUGCGUGAGAGUCCCGGACGUAGGCCUGGCCUCUUAGGAGUCCUUUAGUUUGCAGAGGACUUUCAGGUCCUCUCUUUCACGGGCCGUGCGGACGACCAGCAGAGACUUCGGCCGGGAGUCCACGGCGCCCCUACUCCACUUCGGGCUGGGCGCCAGGGCCAGAGGGGCCUGGUCGACAGUGAACGGCUUGGGAAGGCGAGAGCGGCAACCACCUAGACGAGGACGACACUCAAUGACGCACUCCUCGUGGCGUCCCAGUAGCUCGCCGUGAUCGUAUAGUGUGGCCCACAUGUGUCAUAAAGAGCCUUCAGAUGUGAGGCAGUCUUGUGUGGACAGCGUGAGGAGGACUCUGUGGUGACCUGCAUGGACCUGCAAUAUAAUCCAGUACAAGCAGGUGGAUGCUGAGGGCCAAUGAGCAGGACCAGAUGACCCCAUAGGAGAUUGGAUAUAGUUCUAUGCACAGAGGUUCUCUUAUAUGUGGGACCAUUUAAAUCUCCAGUUCUAAGCAGAAGAGGGACAUAAUCGCAUCUUCCUUUUGGAAAGAUCACUAGCUCUGAAGGAAGCCAGCCGCCAUGUCAAGAGGACACUCAAGCAAUCCCAUGGAGAGACCCAUGAGGUGAGGAACUGAGGCCUUCUGCCACAACAGUCAUCAAAGAAAUGAGAUUUUUGGCCAAUAGCCAUGUGAGUGAGCCACCUUGAAAUCAGAUCCUCCAGCCUCAGCCAGACCUUCAGAUGACUGCAGCCCUGGCUGACAUCUUGACUGUAAUUUCAUGAGAAACCCUGAACCCAAACCACUCAUCUAAGUCAUUUCCAAAUUCCUGAGUUAAGAAGCUGUGAGAUAACCAAUGUUUGUCAUUUUAAGCUGCUAAAUUUUCGGGUAAUUGUUACACUGUGAUAGAUAAUUAAUACAGAUUUUGUUACCAGAGGUGGGGCACUGCCAUAACAAAAACCCAGAAUGUGAAAGUGGCUUUAGAACUCGGCAGACACUGGAAAAACUUUGAGGAGAGUGUUAGUAUAAGUCCAAAUAGCCUUGAAGAGACUAUCUUCCUCAGUUUCCCCAUCUGUAAAAUGAAGAAGUUGGGCUGGAUGAAUACCUAAAUAUUUUAUAAUUCUCUUAAUCUUUAUCUAAUCAAGGUUCUAUAAAUAAUAUUACCCUAAACAAAGUAGUUAUAGGAGACAGCUAAUAACUGACCCAAGGCAUAAUUCCCCAAGGCAUAGCUCCACAACAGAGACAAGAGGUCCUGCACCUGACUUUUGUGCUGUCUGUAAACCUAGUUUCAGCCUGGUUUAAUCUCAGGAAACUGAAGCUGGCUCUACCUUUAACAGGUUGCUUCAACAGCUCACAACCACAUGCCCCAAAAGGAGCCCGGGUUUCUGAUUCUUUAACAAAGGCUGGUCCAGAGAAGAAGGUUCUUUAUAUUCAUUCUUCACCUCAAUGAUUUAACUAAAACGUCCAGAAUAAAAUUGUUUUUCUUCUUA